UACGUAGGGUGCGAGCGUUAAUCGGAAUUACUGGGCGUAAAGCGUGCGCAGGCGGUCUGUUAAGACCGAUGUGAAAUCCCCGGGCUUAACCUGGGAACUGCAUUGGUGACUGGCAGGCUUUGAGUGUGGCAGAGGGAGGUAGAAUUCCACGUGUAGCAGUGAAAUGCGUAGAGAUGUGGAGGAUACCGAUGCGAAGGCAGCCUCCUGGGCCAACACUGACGCUCAUGCACGAAAGCGUGGGGAGCAAACGGG
rnacentral:rRNA from 1 species